rnacentral:rRNA from 1 species
GACGAACGCUGGCGGCGUGCUUAACACAUGCAAGUCGAACGGAAAGGCCCUGCUUUUGUGGGGUGCUCGAGUGGCGAACGGGUGAGUAACACGUGAGUAACCUGCCCUUGACUUUGGGAUAACUUCAGGAAACUGGGGCUAAUACCGGAUAGGAGCUCCUGCUGCAUGGUGGGGGUUGGAAAGUUUCGGCGGUUGGGGAUGGACUCGCGGCUUAUCAGCUUGUUGGUGGGGUAGUGGCUUACCAAGGCUUUGACGGGUAGCCGGCCUGAGAGGGUGACCGGCCACAUUGGGCCUGAGAUACGGCCCAGACUCCUACGGGAGACAGCAGUGGGGAAUAUUGCACAGUGGGCGGAAGCCUGAUGCAGCAACGCCGCGUGCGUGAUGACGGCCUUCGGGUUGUAAACCGCUUUCGCCUGUGACGAAGCGUGGGUGACGGUAAUGGGUAAAGAAGCACCGGCUAACUACGUG